rnacentral:misc_RNA from 1 species
AAGUCGUAACAAGGUCUCCGUUGGUGAACCAGCGGAGGGAUCAUUAGCGAGUUACAAAACUCCAAACCACUGUGAACUUUACCUUUUUUCAGAAUGUUGUUUCGGUGGGUAGUUGGUGGCAAGUUCACCAACGUGCCCUGCCCGGCCAGCUGGGCGCCUGCCGGCAGCACCAAAAAAUUCUUUAUAUUUAUAGCGGAGUUUUCAACUCUUCUGAGUAUGUUUAAAACAAAAUAAGCAAAACUUUCAACAAUGGAUAUCUUGGUUCUC